rnacentral:lncRNA from 1 species
UAUUCACCAAUUUUUAUCUAUUAUUUUUAUAUUUUGGACUGUAGCAAUUUAAGAGAAAUGUACAAAGCAAUGUGGUCUCCUUCAUAAGGCCCCAACUCUUGAGUGUGUACAUAUCAUUUCCUGUCCAUUUCACAGAGGCAAAUGGAAAACAGAUGGGGGACCUACAUAACAUUUCUAUCACUAACUGAUAAGAAAGAGACUGCAUGGAAAUACUAUUUGUGUAUUAUCAUGAUUAUUACUUAAUUAAAUAGAG